AGGCUAAGCACAAUAGACGUUGGUGUACUGUGAUGAUGAAAAGCUUAGUAAAUAUCCAGUUAAACUGAGUUCUCUCUACCUGUACGUCUGAACUGGUACAAAAUGUGGUACCUGGUCUUGAAUAGACUUUAUGCUGUCACUGAUAAUCCUUCUACUUUGAAGAAUGCUCUUCGAUGACUCAGGUGAAAACUAACAGAGGAAGCUGGUAGGGCCUUGGAGAACCUGAUAGAGCAUGAAGCGCUCCAGAUGAUUCUGAAGGCCAUCCUUUCCUCUGGUUGAAAGAUCUGCAAUGAAUACUCCAGCUAUUAGCAGGGCUGAAGCUUAUACGGCAAGUCUUGGGUUUAAGGGCAUUACCUCUGGAGCCACACCAUCUGAGUUUAAAGCCAGCGACACCACUUACCUGGAAGGUUCAGUGGUCUUCUAUCUGGGCUUCCUCUCAGCCGUGUCUGCCUGGCUCGUUACCUCACGUCCUCUGCUAUCUGUCCUGCUGAAGCUGUCCCUGAGGAGGCAAACCUUCCCUCCAGGGAGGUCACUGAAGAUUGCAGUGCAUUGCUUCAUGCAAACAGCCCCUUGGGAAGAAGCCUUCACUCUCCCUGCUGUGUGGAUAGACUGAGGAGCCCCCGAGGCUUAGCAGCAGGUCAGGGCCAAGCCGAGCUUCCAGAACUAGACAGAGGCACAGGUUUUUAUCUGAACUUAAUUUCUCUUUCAGAAGAGCAUUCGUUGCCUCUUGUUUCUUAUUUGAAUCUAAUCCCCAUGGAUCACAAUUUUGUUCUGUGGAUCCAUCUAGCAAAACACACAAUUCAAGGACUCUUGGUCCUUGGCUGGCUCACAGAACUCUAGAACUCUGAGAAGAUCAGCCUUCUCACUGCAGCUGAGGACCUAGGCCUCAGGGAGGUCAAAUGACCAGCCAAGGUCAAGUGGCCAGUUGGUGAAAGGGCUGGACUAGAAAUAAGGUUACCAGUCUUUGUUCAGGGUUCUCGCAAACACACUAACACAUUUUUUAUCAGCAAUAGGAAAAUCUACCCAGAAAUUACUCAUAAAUCUCCUAGAGUAGAGAUCUUAGAUGUCGUGGUAAAAGAGGACGUAGAGAUCGUGUCGUACAGGCCUCCAAAAGAAGUUUUAGAGUUUUUAAGUGCCUUUUCCCUUUGUUUUAUUUAAAAUGAUGUCUAGCUUGGCACAGCCAUGAAUCUGAGACGUGUUCAACUGGAUAAGCCUGCGCGUGAGCCUGUGUGCCUAGGGGUGAUGUCAGCGUGGCUCCCUGAAGAUUUCCAGAGGAUCCCUCCUCUCGGGUUUUAUUUUGUAGUAAAAAUAAUCUGCGGUGUUUUUGGUUUUCCUUGUCUUAUGGACUGGGGGAGUCAGCUGGGAGGCCACUGUCUCCUGAUUUUCUAGGUGGUCAUUAUCCGUACUCCAUUCAGACCACUGUUAAGACCACUGGAUCCUAAAUGAUGCCCCAGGGACUGUUCAUGCGGUCAUCUUGGGGAGGGAAAGGGGAGGUACGCAGGCAAGCAACACUGACCAAAAUAUUUCUUCUGAAAGCUCUCAUGCUUGCAGUGUGAAUUCACCAUUGGAAGCCUGCCAUGUUUUCUAUUUUAAGGCUCCAUGUCCCUUAUGUUGCUCUGCGGCUCCUUCUUAUUCUACUGUGUUGUGUGGAGAGUAGAGAUGAAGAUAAUAGGUCCUGGAAUUGGACUGUCUCACUUCAAAUCCUAGCUUUGCGUUUACGAAUUUUGUGAUUAUGGGCCAAUGACUUAACCUUUCUGUGUUUGUUUCCUAUCUGCAAAGUGAUUUGACAACUUUAUCAAACCCAAAUGAUUGAUGUGAGGACUAAUAAAUAUAGAAUAGACACUGGUAUGCAGUAGCCAGCGCAUCAAUGAAUGUUAGCUGUUACUGUUAACAUCUCCUGCUCGUGUAGCCCAACCCAGUGGAAAGAACAACUGGAUUGAUGGGUCAGGAGACACAGGAUCCGGUCCAGGCUCUCACUUUCACGUGGCUGCGUGAACUCGGAAGAGUCACUUGAUCUCAACUCACAGAAUGCAAGACAUGGAAGAAAGUAUUUGGUCCAACUUCCUCAUUUUACAAAUGAAAUUGGACCUCGAGAGAGGAAGAGGCUCACCCAAAGUCCAACAGGAAGUUGAUGUCCAGGCCAGCAUCAGCCAGCACCUGCUCUCUUGACUGCCAGCCCAGAGCUCUUCUCAUCAUUGCUUUGGGAACUAAAUACCUUGCCAAGUGUCCCCAACUUUGCUGAAGACCUGAGGACUUUGGGGUUGGCAGGCAAAUGGUUCCUAACAAGCUGUCUUUGGGUUGUGGCCACCCCAGAAGCAGCAGCUAGUGCAUUCUAAUUUGUCGUGUUGUAUAAGUGUCAGAAGCAGAGUAAUGCCUUUAAGAUGCUGCUGGGUGAAAGCUGCUAUACCUAUGGAGGGCCCAGAAAACUCAUUCCAGGCCAACAGCAGGAAGGUGAGCAGCUUUGUAGAGUCCAAUGGCUUAAUAAUUGACCAUGUUUCUUUUCCCUUUCUUGGCUCCUGCCGGAGACAGUCAGUGACUGUGUCUCUAUCUUAGGCUGAGGAUAUUUCCUUUUGAACUCUCACUGCAGGUCCUGGCCACCCCUUGCCUUCUCUCCUCUCACUCCUACUCGGAUCCUGGGAUUAUAGGUUGACCAUAUUAUCCACUCUUGGGUACAUAGUGGCUUUGACUCACAAGAUCCUCUUUCUGUUCUGCACCCUGGCCACAACAGGCACUCAACAAAGUCAGUCCUCUGCUCAUUGUUCUAAAUAUAUCCCAGGUUUCUGGCUCUGGGUCAUUGCAUAAAUUUUGUCUUGCCAUUGAUUCUUGCUGAAUGAAGCCCACAGUGGUCUUCCUACUCAGAAGUGGUCUCCUGCUCCUUAGAACUUCCAAAGCACAUAUCAGCUGUAACCAAUGGUUUUCACAAUGUCUUUAGGGGUCCUAUCUUCCUUAACAGGCUACCUAAGAACCAGGUACUGCCAUCUUUUUCUCCCCCAAAGCAUUUAGCAGAGUUCCUUGCCCAUUGCAGGAGCUCAGUUAGAUGUGCUUUGAACAACUGUUGACUGGUUAGUGGGGUUGGAGUAAGGGGCUUCAGCGUUAAUAAAAAGGUUGUUCCUUCAUAAUCAAAAGUGCUUUCUCCCUAGGUGUCAUUGUGAGCCCAUGAUAAGUCAGUUACAGCCAUUCGAAGGCUCCUUAAAGCUUUGGCAAUGCCCAGUCAUUUUUAGAAUUCUACUUUUUAGAAAUCUGGAGUGACAUGUUUUCAAAUUAAAGUCAAUUAAAAUUAAUUUUGCUCUUUUUUUGUGGCAGAAACUGACAACCCAAGAUGGACAAGUAAAACAAAUUAACAUACUUUAAAAAUGCAAGUAAAAGUUUAAGGACAUCAAAAGGCUUGAUGAGUGAAGGAGCCCUGAGACUUUCACUCACUCAUGCACUCAUUCACUCAAUCAGCAAACAUAUUCAUGCAGUUCAAUUUCUUGCGUUUCAAGAGAAAACACAGUUGUGUUAUUUUGUUAAUGCAAAAUUUUAUAUAGCCCUCUACUAGAGCCCUAUGCUUCUGAAAUUGUUCGCUAAAACAAUAGUCAUAUUAGUUUGCGUUCAUAAAGUCAAGCUCAGUGUUUCCCUAAGAUCAAACACUCCAUGACAAAUUUUAUCCCCAAAUUUGGGAAAAAAAUGAGAAGAAUGCAAAGAUUAAUUCUUGGAAGUCCUUAAAUAAGACUUUCCUCUCCCAUUUUCUGUUUGCUUUAAAAAUUUUGCAUUCAGAGAAUAAUAGGUGAGUCUUUCUGUGGAUAAUUAAAACACAUGUAACUUGAAAUUCUCAGGCCAGUAAUUAAACUGAAGAGCUCACUGGGUAACGCUUACUUUUUUCUCCCAGAUUGUGAGUUCAGUUCCUUUUCAAGCUGCACUUUUCAUUUCUUUUUUCUUUUCUUUUUUUUUUUUUCAAUCACAGAGAUUAAAGCAGCCUGAAUUUUACAAUAGCAUCUUGUGAAGGAAGAGGUGGGGGGAAAGCCACAGCGGUUUUAGUAAAUCAUGCACUUUGAUGUCUCCAACUUGAAAUCCAUAUUUUGAGAGCCCUGAUGUACCUAAUAGCAUUUAGAAUAAAAUUUUAAAUCCCAAAGCUGGGGCUGUUUGCAGAGAAAAAUGCCUGUGAAAAGUGGAUGUUAGCAUUCGUCUCACAUCUCACCACUUUCUUACCACAAAGCGCUUCUAUUCUUCGCUGUGAAGUUUGUGUGGCGUACAUGUCACAUACCCGUGGUGUGUCCACUUUUCUUGGCUGGUGUCCACAAAGUUAUUAAUAGCUGUUGACCUUGGCUUGAGGCUUUAGGCAUUUAUUUUGGGUAAGAAAAGGUAGAAAGAGAAAAAGGCUUUCCAGGAACACAUUGUUUUCUCUAAAAUCACGGAGCCAUUCCGAGAGCCCCUCUCUUGACCGUCAAAAAUACCUGUAAAAUCUAACUGUUGUUAAAGAUUUGUGUCUUUAGGCUGAAAUCCAUUGGUUCCCUUAGUUUGCUUUCGGGUGCAGGUGCUGUAGUGCCAUUUUAGAAAUGUCAUGGCCCUUUGACCAUAUUCACAGGCUCCUGGGCAGCAAGAAGCUUUGAAAUCCAAUAAAUAUUGAAACACGAGAAUAGAUUUCAAGAAUUACUUUUCUGCUAAAAUCUCAAGACAAAAUUCCCGUUGUUCCUGCAAGUCCCUUAGCUCAUCGAGGGCAUUUGCAUCCAACAGGGUCUCAGGAGCUCUUGUUUCUCCUGCUAUCACAUUAUGUUUAUGAUGUCAUCAGGGGUUACCAUGGAGGUAAUUGUCAUGAUGUGGGAGAUGUGUGAAUUCAGGUGUGGAGAAACUCAGCAGUGAGAGAUGAGUCUGAGAAAAAGAGACAAAUCCCCUUUCAUUCCAGCUUCCUUUGCAACAAAAGGGUGAAGCAGAAAAAAAAAAAAAAAGGAGGGGGAAUAAAAAAAUGUGGCUUGUGAUCGCAGGAGAGAAUACUAUAUUAUGAAGUCCAAGAUGAACAGGGAAAUCUUUUGAAUGAUACACCAGGAAGCUCAAAGAGCUGGCAAGCCACAGCGGGAUGGCCGUCCCCUGAGAGAGAGGAGAGGAGGAGAACGAGCCCAGCAGGGGCCUGGAGCAGCUGGCUGGCAUCAAUAAUUUCCUGCAGGAGAUUUUGCUGGCUGAGUACACGUCACCUGUCUGUUGCCCCUCUGCGUCUGCCCUGUGGUACUAAAAUAAACUAAAGCAACCCUUGGACUCUGCUCGUCCAAAUACAGUUCGUUAACCUCAGCUCUGUGGAGCCCAGGUAUAAAGCAGCAUCAUCUAUUUGGAACAAGAUGAGGAAGAGUCAGGCAGAAAGAUCCCUGAGCAGCUGGAGUACACAUUACAAAGUUUCCGUUUCCGCACAGAAGAGCCUUUUGGGCCCUUGCUCAGAGACCACUGACUCUUACUUAACACAUAGCCCUAAUUAGCUUGGUUAGCUGCUAAGCAGUUUGGAAGUGGGAAUGAAAGGCGGGGAAAGACUGCCACGGGCUGGAGCCAUCAGUUAAGAGCUAGACCAAGAAGGUGGCAUCUGUGGGGACAACUGCAGAUGGGAAUCGUGCUCAAAGGCGGACUUUGGAUGAAUGGCUCCAAAGGUCCCUUCCAGCUUUUCAGUUCAUGGUUCAGAGUAUGUCUGCUUUGACUAUGAUGGUGAAGAUAUGAUGGAGAGAGAGGAGGGGAAGGGGGACAUUAGUGCGGAGCUCGUACCCAGCAGGAAACGUGGCCUUGUGUUUUGGGCAGCCCUGAGUUUCGGUGCUCAGAAGCACUCGCCUGCUUUUGCUGGAGUCCUCCAGACAGGACAUCUACUCUCGGUCCUCCUUUAUUCUUUGCCAGCAAGAGAGAAUUAUUGUGGAUGUUUUUGGAAAGAGUUCUGUGAGGCAUCGGAGUGUAAUGAAUAGACAUGGGCUUGAGGUGAGACAGACCUGUGUUCAGAUCGUGGCUUCCUACUCAGCUAGCUGGGCACUCUGGCAAAACCAUCGAGCCUCAGUUUCCUCACCUGUAUAUCUACUGUCUAAGUUGCGCAUUGUGCGCCUUCCUGCCAGAGGCCCUUCAGUAGCUCCUAACUGCUUUCUUUGGUGUUCUCAGGGUGAACUUCUUUCCAGGAAAGAGUUUCCAGGACACUUAGUAAAACUUGAAUUUCAGACAGAC
ensembl:lncRNA